AGAAAGUCUAUUACUUACAGAGAACUAGAAAAAGAGACAAAGAGCACUGGUUCUUUUCUUUGGGCAUUUGCUUAAAGAACAUCACAUGCCCACCUAAACAGGGUCCGCCUCUCUGUAUUCUAUCAUUAGGAGCAGCAGGACAUCUGGGGUUGAGAAGAUGGAGAGAGCAUCUUUAUAUAACGUUGCAAUCUGGAAGUAUCACUCUCAAAAAGGUUUUGAUAGACUAGAAAAAUGACAAGACUCCAAGUCCUUGAAGAGGAGGAAAAGUGUGAAGAAAACAAAAAAAGGAGAUUGAUGUCUGCUUCACCAUUUUGCCCAAGAUUUGACCUGUCAUGCACUGAAGGAAGCUCUUGUUUGACCUUCUGAAAAAAUUUUGAAGUAUCUACGAGAAUAGCUAUUCUAUGAAGCAGAGAUUAUAGUAGAUAUGGAGUUUAAGUUGCAGAAAAAGAAGACUGAAUCAUUAAAUGGGACAUCAGAAAGUAAAAGCCUUUCCUUUUAUCUAGUUUGGAGGACUUAAAAAAAUCAAUAGGCAGAAAUUUACAUAAUCCUUAUUGGAUUCCAUGAGCUACAAAUGUACUAUUAGUACAGAUGGAUAUGAAAGAAAGAUUAGUUAUGUUGUUAUGUUUAUGGAUAGGUAAGAAGAGACACUCUUGCAAAAUGGUAGAUUGAAAAACCCACUGAAUCUUCCUGGAAGUGUGUUGAAAUCGGUUAAAGGGUUAAUGACACAAAUACGAGGAUAAUUUUGUAAGGGCAUGAUAAGGGGGGCAAACAGCCUAAUGGUGAGAAAAAGAAAUAGCGCAUCAUGCAAGGUUAUCGACACUGUUCUCAGUAACCUCUUGCAUCCCUGCUGAACCAGAAACUAGUAGGGUUAUGUCAAUAAUUUCCCAUUGUGAAGGGAAGAAGUGACCAUUGAUUUGUGCCUUGUCACUCAGGUUAACUGCUUAAGAACUUUGUUCACCCAGGAGUGCAUAAAUGAAUGCCAUGUGCUACCAAAAUAAAAAAAGUAAUAAAGGAUUAAAUAAGGCCGUG
rnacentral:lncRNA from 1 species